UCCUCGGAAUCAAACGACUCUCGGCAAUGGAUAUCUCGGCUCUUGCAUCGAUGAAGAACGUAGUGAAAUGCGAUACUUGGUGUGAAUUGCAGAAUCUCGUGAACCAUUGAGUCUUUGAACGCAAGUUGUGCCCGAGGCCUUGUGGUCGAGGGCACGCCUGCUUGGGCGUCAUGG
rnacentral:rRNA from 1 species